GCAGCAACCCGGAGUGAAUAAUAUAGCGCUUCUCCGCAACUUCACAGCAUGAUACACGCACCUGAAUAGAAACGGCGGUUUAAAAAAGUGCAUUAUUUACAUUUAGCUCGGUUGACAAGCUAUCUGUAAUUAAAGACGAAGGAGGCAGUUUGCCGCCUUGGAGUAUUGCAAAGUCAGUUCGGUCGCAUUAAAACGGCCUGAGAGAUGUGAUGAGCAGUUCUUCCAGACGAUGACCUAUUUCUCUUUAUUAAUAUCACAUUCAAAUUUGAGAUCCCAGAAACAGCAACAGAGCUCUACCAACUCGUCUACGCGUGUAAACACACACAAUUCGAGAAAGCCAGUCCGCCCUCGGCCAUUUAGUCCACUAAGCCUACACAGUCUCAUGUGCCAUUACUAAGAGAGAAGGCAUUCCAGCGAAACGACAACAGGAGACACAAACACGGCUAACAGCCUAGCAUGCUGUGAAUUGUGGUCUUUCUGAUAAAGACAGGGGCGAGAGGGCGACAGGCUGCACGCUGCCCGGAUCGCGCAGGACUGAUAAAGAACAAUCAAGCUCCAUCAGGUUGGAUGUGGAGCAUCGGUGCAAAGCCAUUUUCAGAUCUCUGCAGUGAUGUUCAAUCAGGUUCAAGUCUGGGCUCUGGCUGGGCCACUCAAGAACAUUCACAGAGUUGUCCCGAAGCCACUCCUUUGUCAUCCUGGCUGGGUGCUUAGGGUUGUUGUCCUGUUGGAAGAUGAAGCUUCGCCCCAGUCUGAGGUCCAGAGCGCUCUGGAGCAGGUUUUCUUCAAGGAUUUCUCUGUACAUUGCUGCAUUCAUCUUUCUCUUGACCCUGACUAGUCUCCCAGU